rnacentral:lncRNA from 1 species
AGGUCGCCCGGUGCCCGAGACAGGUCACUCACCUCGCAGCCGGCUACCUGGAGGGGCGGUGCUGGGGCCGGUCCCCCGCCGGCUCCCUCAAUGCCUCCGGGCUGUGACUGCUCGGGCCGCGCUCCUGGCCGCCACCGAACGCUUACUCCAUCUCCUCCGUCACCCCCGAGUCCGCAGAACCCCGAGAUCGAGGAGUAAAGGGGGAAGGGAGGGAAGGGACUAGGGAAGAAGAGCACGGUAGGGGGAAGAGCACCGAAAGACCUGCCCGCUCCUGCAUGACGUCACUUCCGGGCGGUUCGGAAGGGUAAGGCUUGGCUUCCCUCCGCCCUCCCCGAGGCGGAGUGAGGCGGGGCUCCCGGGGCGGGGGUGGAGCCAGCCCGGGCCUCUGCUGACAGCCGUACCUGUGACUCUGAUCACUAGUCUUCGCGGGCAAGACCAGCUUUCCGGGGCCCCAGGCUAGGAAGCCCGAGUUUCUGGAACCAUAGAAGGGGAUUCUCCAAGAUAAUGAGGACAGCUGUGAAGGACAUCUGGAAACAACAAACAGUCACAUCUCCUUAAAUGGAUCCACUUUCCGAUCUUUGAAAAUACUUUAGAGCCUCCAGUUAAAGUGUAAACUUCCCAGCUAAGUGAAGAUGAAGAUCUUGUCAUUUCUAACACUUGUAUAAAAAGAGAGGUUAUUCAAACUCAAGUGAGUAGUCAAAAUUAU